AGUGAACGCUGGCGGUAUGCCUAACACAUGCAAGUCGAACGGCAGCACAGUAAGAGCUUGCUCUUACGGGUGGCGAGUGGCGGACGUGUGAGGAAUACAUCGGAAUCUACUUUUUCGUGGGGGAUAACGUAGGGAAACUUACGCUAAUACCGCAUACGCCCUACGGGUGAAAGCAGGGGAUCUUCUGACCUUGCGCGAUUGAAUUAGCCGAUGUCGGAUUAGCUAGUUGGCGGGGUAAAGGCCCACCAAGGCGACGAUCCGUAGCUGGUCUGAGAGGAUGAUCAGCCACACUGGAACUGAGACACGGUCCAGACUCCUACGGGAGGCAGCAGUGGGGAAUAUUGGACAAUGGGCGCAAGCCUGAUCCAGCCAUACCGCGUGGGAGAAGAAGGCGUUCGGGUUGUAAAGCCCUUUUGUUGGGAAAGAAAAGCAGCAGGUUAAUACCACGCUGUUCUGACGGUACCCAAAGAAUAAGCACCGGCUAACUUCGUG
rnacentral:rRNA from 1 species